rnacentral:rRNA from 1 species
AUUGAACGCUGGCGGCAGGCCUAACACAUGCAAGUCGAGCGAGCGGCGGACGGGGGAGUAAUGUAUGGGGACUGCCCGAUAGAGGGGGAUAACUACUGGAAACGGUGGCUACUACCGCAUACUGUCGGAUAACCCAUAUGGGAUUAGCUAGUGGGUAAGGUAAGGGCGUACCUAGGCGACGAUACCUAGCUGGUCUGAGAGGAUGAUCAGCCACACGGGGACUGAGACACGGCCCAGACUCUUACGGAGCCAGCAGGGGGGAAUAUCGCAAAAGGGGCGAAAGCCGGAUGCAGAAAUGCCGCGGGUAUGAAGAAGGCCUUAGGUUUGUAAAGUACUUUCAGUCGGGAGGCGUUACCGACAUAAGAAGCACCGGCUAACUCCGUGCCAGCAGCCGCGGUAAUAC